rnacentral:rRNA from 1 species
GACAGAGGAGGCAAGCGUUAUCCGGAAUUAUUGGGCGUAUAGCGUCCUUAGGAGGUUUGGCAAGUCUGGGGUUACAGCCCGGAGCCUAACUCCGGAUCGGCCCUGGAAACUGCCAGACUAGAGUAAGGUAGGGGUUGCGGGAAUUCCCGGUGUAGCGGUGAAAUGCGUAGAUAUCGGGAAGAACACCAGUGGCGAAAUCGCGCAACGGGGCCAUUAUGUACUUUGUGGGACGAAAGCUAGGGGAGCGAAUGGG